GUAGGGCGCAAGCGUUGUCCGGAAUUAUUGGGCGUAAAGAGCUCGUAGGCGGCUUGUCACGUCGGGUGUGAAAGCCCGGGGCUUAACCCCGGGUCUGCAUUCGAUACGGGCUAGCUAGAGUGUGGUAGGGGAGAUCGGAAUUCCUGGUGUAGCGGUGAAAUGCGCAGAUAUCAGGAGGAACACCGGUGGCGAAGGCGGAUCUCUGGGCCAUUACUGACGCUGAGGAGCGAAAGCGUGGGGAGCGAACAGGAUUAGAUACCCUGGUAGUCCACGCCGUAAACGGUGGGCACUAGGUGUUGGCGACAUUCCACGUCGUCGGUGCCGCAGCUAACGCAUUAAGUGCCCCGCCUGGGGAGUACGGCCGCAAGGCUAAA
rnacentral:rRNA from 1 species